GAGCUAAAGAUCUAUGACAGCCCAAUUUGGCACAUCCCUAGUCAUGGGACAAUCCACAAACCAACCUCCACUUUUCAAUGGAUCAAACUAUACCUAUUGAAAAAUUUGAAUAAAAAUUUUCAUUCAAGCACUUGACUAUGAUAUAUGGAGUGUCAUAGUAAAUAGACUACACACACCCACUAAAUUAAUUGAUGGUGUGUCUCUCCCUA
rnacentral:lncRNA from 1 species